GCCGGGACAUGUCUCCUGUGUAAGGCUGCUUUCAGCUCAUUCCAAUAUUGAAUUGUGUAGUCGCCAUGCAUCCUUUGGUCUCUCAUGAUGGAUGUCCACCAAUAAAGGGCUGAACCUUGAAAGGUCAAGGUGGCUAGGGUCACUCUCCUCCUAUCAUCUAUGUUGUAGCACUCAAAAAUUUAUUCAACCUUCAUCUCCCAC
rnacentral:lncRNA from 1 species